UCGAGGGGCAGCGGGGUAGUGCUUGCACUACUGCCGGCGACCGGCGCACGGGUGAGUAACACGUAUGGAACCUGCCCGCCGCAGGGGGAUAAGCGGAAGAAAUUCCGUCUAAUACCGCGUAACAACGUUGGGAGGCAUCUCCCGAUGUUUAAAGAUUUAUCGGCUGCCGAUGGCCAUGCGGCGCAUUAACCAGGCCGCCGCGGUAACGGCCCUCCGGAGGCUGACGACGCAUAGGGGUUCGGAGAGGAAGGUCCCCCACAUUGGUACUGAGACACGGACCAGACUCCUACGGGAGGCAGCAGUGAGGAAUAUUGGUCAAUGGCCGAGAGGCUGAACCAGCCAAGUCGCGUGAGGGAAGACGGCCCUACGGGUUGUAAACCUCUUUUGUCGGGGAGCAAAGAGAGCCACGUGUGGCUCAUUGAGAGUACCCGAAGAAAAAGCAUCGGCUAACUCCGUGCCAGCAGCCGCGGUAAUACGGAGGAUGCGAGCGUUAUCCGGAUUUAUUGGGUUUAAAGGGUGCGCAGGCGGAGGUGCAAGUCAGCGGUCAAAUUGCGGGGCUCAACCCCGUACUGCCGUUGAAACUGCAUCCCUUGAGUGCGCGAGAAGUAUGCGGAAUGCGUGGUGUAGCGGUGAAAUGCAUAGAUAUC
rnacentral:rRNA from 1 species